rnacentral:lncRNA from 1 species
UUCAAAUAUAUUUUUUCACGGCCGUAUUUUAAUCAAUCAUAAUAAUAUAUAUGACAAUGGAUGAAUAAGGAGUAUCAUUAUCAAAGACUCUUAGCACAAAGAGCACAAAGAGCACAAAGCACUCUACCUAACCGUGUAAUUUUUUCUUAACUUGGACCACUGGAUUCGUGGAAGCGUACAAAACCUCGUGAUCCUCGUGUCGCUUGAUUUUGAUCACAAUCUUGACGGUGGUGGAAAAUAGGGACCACCAGCCACUAAUGUAUAAGAUCACCAAAUCCCAAAAACCCGCAAAAAUCAAAUAAUACGUAAUCGGUAAGCUGUAAAGCCCAAGGCUCUAGAAAGUAGAAACCCAAACACUACAAAUAUUUUCCCUCCCUCCACAAACAAAGCCAUAAGCUGUCCCCACGUGUCAUUGUGUCAAUAAUAUAGUGCAUUUAACCGCCACUGAAACGACCGCCGCGAAAUAUCAAAUGAAAUUAGAGGAUCAUGAGAAUUUAACUCCGUCUGAUCGAGUGACUCAUCAGUGACCCCAGUUUGUUGAUUAAAACAUUUCUCAAAAUACAACUGUACACCGUUCGCAUCUUAUUCGUAUGACUCAGCCGUCUCUAUCUUUAUUCUUUGUCCAAAAAGGUCUGCGCACCUUUCUGACGUGGCGUAGAUCUCCACCAUACACCCAAUCUUUUUCUGCCACAUAAUUGGACAAACCUUAAAUCUUAUUUUAUUAAAUAAUUACAUCUAGGUCCCUGAUUUUUCCACAAACACAAAUAAGGAUUUAAUAUGCAAUUCGCUUAAGAGGCUCCUGCUAUUUUGAUCUUUCCUAAUUUCUAUUCACGGCCUUAUUAAAUAUUUACUAGCACUGCAUUUAUUUUACUGGGGCAUACAAUAAAAUUAGAGAGAUAAUUAUUCUAAGGUAUGGAUGUCUAUACUUUUUAAAAAAUAUGGAUUCGACUUAACACGGUAAUAAAACUUUUUUAUAGUAAUUCUUUAUGUAAGAAUAACCUU